rnacentral:tRNA from 1 species
GGUCGAAUGGUGUAGUGGUUAUCACGUUUGCUUCACAUUACGCGCGCAAAAGGCCCCGGGUUCGACCCCCGGUUCGACCU